AAAUUCUUCUAGAAUCCAUCAAUCAAUUGUACCAAUAUUUAAUUACACAUCACAUUGUUUAUCUGCAAUUCCUCUUUUUGUUCUGUUCCAGAUCCAACCAUGGAUUUCAUGAAAGUUAUCGAUCGAACGGUCUGUAAAAUAAAGAGCGAGGUGAAUUUGAAAGUCUUGAAGGUUCCUGAGAUCGAACAAAAGGUGUACAGGCACCAGACUGUUGCUAGGAGCGUCAAGCUUAACUCCUGUUUGUCAAGCCAACCUUUGUGCCUCACUUUGAGGUUCCAGAACUGUUCAAGCUGAGGCUGCUUGGGGUGUUUUAGUUUUUCCCCUCUUUGUUUAUGUUCUGUAUAGACUAAAUGUUGUAAUGUACUGUUCUAAUAAGGAUUAAGUCCCUGUGCUGAAUGAUUGUAUAUAUUGUACAUACUGUUUUGGUACUGAUUGUAUGUAUGUCUUGAAAAGUCUUUUUGCA